CCGCGAUGAUGUAUGAAUUUCUUCACCUGAACUGCAGACUGAAGAGCAAAACAUACGAGCUUUUUAACCCUGAGCGGU
rnacentral:snoRNA from 2 species